GAUGAACGCUGGCGGCGUGCUUAACACAUGCAAGUCGAACGGAAAGGCUCCUGCUUGCAGGGGUACUCGAGUGGCGAACGGGUGAGUAACACGUGGGUGAUCUGCCCUGCACUUCGGGAUAAGCCUGGGAAACUGGGUCUAAUACCGGAUAGGACCACAUUUUGGAUGGUGUGGUGGAAAGUUUUUCGGUGUGGGAUGAGCUCGCGGCCUAUCAGCUUGUUGGUGGGGUAAUGGCCUACCAAGGCGUCGACGGGUAGCCGGCCUAAGAGGGUGUACGGCCACAUUGGGACUGAGAUACGGCCCAGACGCCAACGGGAGGCAGCAGUGGGGAAUAUUGCACAAUGGGCGCAAGCCUGAUGCAGCGACGCCGGGUGGGGGAUGACGGCCUUCGGGUUGUAAACUCCUUUCGCUAGGGACGAAGCGCAAGUGACGGUACCUGGAGAAGAAGCACCGGCUAACUACGUG
rnacentral:rRNA from 1 species